AGAAUUAUGGUGUACGCUGUUAUCGUCAUGUUCUAUGUCAGCUUCAUUUCCUUAUUAACGUCUGAUGACUUAAACAUUUGCGAGAAUGAAAUUACAGGUCAAAAUGAAUGCUGUACCGAUUAUAUGAAUAUUUCAGGAAUUUGUCAAGCUUGUAUUGGUUUUUACGGGAAAUAUUGCAAUUUACCAUGUCCGUUGGGAUUCUAUGGUCA